GACGAACGCUGGCGGCGUGCCUAAUACAUGCAAGUUGAGCGAUGAGGAUCGGUGCUUGCAGCAAUCUGAAGAGCCGCGAACGGGUGAGUAACGCGUGUGGCAUCUGCCUUAGAGCGGGGGACAACAUUGGGAAACGAACGCUAAUAGCGCAUAACAACUUUAAACAUAAUUUUUAUUUUUGAAAGAUGCAAUUGCAUCACUCAAUGAUGAUUCCGCGUUGUAUUGGUUUGGUGGUGAGGUAAAUGCGCAUCAAGGCGGGGAUACAGAGCCGACCGGAGAGGGUGAUCGGCCAGAUUGGGAGUGAGACCCGCCCCAGUCUCAUACGGGAGGCAGCAGUAGUGAAUCUGCGGCAAUGGACGAAAGUCUGACCGAGCAACGCGGCGUGAGUGAGGAAGGUUUUCGGGUCGUAAAUCUCUGUUGGUAGGGAAGAACGUUGGUGAGAGUGGAAAGCUCAUCGAGUGACGGUAACUACCCAGAAAGGGACGGCUAACUACGUG
rnacentral:rRNA from 1 species